UACGUAGGGUGCAAGCGUUGUCCGGAAUUAUUGGGCGUAAAGAGCUCGUAGGCGGUCUGUCGCGUCUGCUGUGAAACUCAGGGCUUAACCCUGAGCUUGCAGUGGGUACGGGCAGACUAGAGUGCGGUAGGGGAGACUGGAAUUCCUGGUGUAGCGGUGAAAUGCGCAGAUAUCAGGAGGAACACCGAUGGCGAAGGCGGCUCUCUGGAACGG
rnacentral:rRNA from 1 species